UACGGGGGGAGCAAGCGUUGUUCGGAUUUACUGGGCGUAAAGCGUGCGCAGGCGGUUGGCAAAGUCAGCUGUGAAAGCCCCGGGCUUAACCUGGGAAUGGCGGUUGAAACUAGUCGACUCGAAUCUGGCAGAGGGGGGUGGAAUUCCACGUGUAGCAGUGAAAUGCGUAGAGAUGUGGAGGAACACCGAUGGCGAAGGCAGCCCCCUGGGCUGAGAUUGACGCUCAGGCACGAAAGCGUGGGGAGCAAACAGG
rnacentral:rRNA from 1 species